UACGUAGGGGGCAAGCGUUGUCCGGAAUCAUUGGGCGUAAAGCGUGCGCAGGCGGUUCGUUGUGUCGGUGGUGAAAGCCCCGGGCUUAACCUGGGAAUGGCCAUGGAAACUGGCGAACUGGAGUGUGGCAGAGGGGGGUGGAAUUCCGGGUGUAGUGGUGAAAUGCGUAGAGAUCCGGAGGAACCCCAGAGGCGAAGGCGGCGCCCUGGCUCGCAACUGACGCUCAGACACGACAGCAUGGGGAGCGAACGCG
rnacentral:rRNA from 1 species